rnacentral:lncRNA from 1 species
GGAAUCGCCAUUAAUUUCAUUUGUGUUUGACAAAGCGUCAUCCAAUGGAUUAAAACCCUUCCUUUUGGUGGCAGUGGAACGGUAUGAUACUUGGUUGCCAGGCGUCCAUUUUUAGUAAAAGCCAAAGAACUGGGAUAGAAAACACCACAAACUAUGCCAAUCAGUGAGCUUCUGAAAACACAGUUUUCCUUGCUUAUAUUAUCUGGAAAACAAAAGUAAAUUUGGUUUUCCUUUAAAACUCAAGAGCUAUUAAGACAGUGUUGUACCUCACAGAGUAGUUAUCUGCACUAUCCUCAACCACAACUAAACCAUAGAAAGAAUAUUAGAAAUUCAAACUCUGUGGCAUAUAACAGGC